ensembl:lncRNA
GUUUUAGCCAACUACCACAGUGACACUCGAAACCGAGCUUCCAAGGUAGUAAUACGGUUAAAAUAAACAGAUUUGAGGUCUCUGAAGUUUCAAAAGGUGGCAAAUGACGCCCUAAACAAUUUAGAAGCUCAGCCUUUGACGUGGAGAGACAGAUUCAGCAUGGAAACUUCUUCUAAAUCUCCCAGGAGUACGAAACAUCACUCACGGUCCAGAUCACGUUCAAGAGACCGAAAACGCAAAUCAGGUGACAAGAAACACAGAAGAUCCCGGAGCAGAAGCAAAGAGGUAACUAAAUUAAAGUCCAUUUCAGUCACGUAGACGUAAGUUGAUUUGGUCGCAUCAUUAAUGUAAAUUUAUCAGCUGGCAUUUCUAGUUUUAGGCCAGUGGUAAGUAUGAAGGUUUACAUAUGACAAAUGCCAGUUUUAAGUUUUUGUCAGUUAGUUAUGGAUUCAGACCUUGAGGGGUAAUUGUUUUUGGUUUUUUAUUUUUUUAUUUUUUUAUUAUUUUCGGUUCUCGCUCUCUCACAUGUCAGUGUGUGAAAUUAGAGACCACUGAAAUAGCUUACAGAUUGUGUGGGAUUUUUAUGGUAAAAGCCUGUAUUUAGUUCACAUGAUAACAUUUCUAUAAUAAAUUACACUCAGCGUGCUAAUGCACGAAGAGACACUCUGAACUGAAGACGCUG